CCAAAGACAAUCAUUGACAAAUGCAUUUCUAUCUCCAGGGUACAUUCAUUGUCUCUGAUGAUUGCUGCCCCUCAAAAGAAUGUCCACACUCCUGAUCACCCCUUUGGCCAUGAAAAAGUUGAUUUUCACUGAACCUUCAGAGGGUGAAGAGGAAGCUUUUCCUUGACCUCUACAUGGGCUGGAAAUAAAUAACAUCUACUUAGGACACCCUGGCAGGGGCUUUCCAAACCACUCCCAGCCCUGGAGAGAAAGAUAAUGAUGUGUUCCAAACAGUCUCAACUGUGGCCACUGGCAAAGUGCCGUGAAAGGGGAGGCUUGCCAGUGCUAAGGGAGUGGCCAAACGAGACUGCUGAAGGGCACUGCGAGCAGGGGCAAAUCCGUACAGGUCUUCAGCCACCUCAACCCUGUCCUCAUCAGAAGAAAGGAUUCGAGUGAGG
rnacentral:lncRNA from 13 species